AUGGGGGUAGCACUGGUGCAUGGCACCAACCUAGCUGCUGCAGUCGUUGUCAGUAGUAUCCCCCAAGGCACAGAUGAAGUAGUUCUUGCAGGAAAUAUUUCAAAAGUGGCUCGUGCUGUGGCUGCAGCGUUGUGCAAGAAAAAUAUCAAGGUCAGGGACAUUAUGGAUAAUCAUAUAAUGGAGUCUAGUCUAAUUUUACAGGUAUGGGUAAUUGGAGAAGGUUUAAAUGCCUCUGAACAGCUGACGGCAGCAAAAGGGACAAGGUUUAUCCCAUACUCACAGUUCCCACCAAGAACGAUACGGAGGGACCGCUACACCUACUCGAUCACUCCAGCAAUGGGUGUUACUAAAACACUGACAAAUGUUCAUUCAUGCGAGAAUUGGCUGCCAGGGAGGGCAAUGAGUGCAUGGCGUGUUGCUGGUAUUGUUCACGCGUUGGAGGGAUGGAAAGAUCAUGAGUGCGGAGACACGGUGCUAGACAUGGACAAAGUUUGGUCAGCUACAAUUUCGCACGGGUUCCGCCCAAUUGCUGAAGCUUGA
rnacentral:rRNA from 1 species